rnacentral:rRNA from 1 species
UUAUAUGAGAGUUUGAUCCUGGCUCAGGAUGAACGCUGGCGGCGUGCCUAAUACAUGCAAGUCGAACGAGUUCUGAUUAUUGAAAGGUGCUUGCAUCUUGAUUUAAUUUUGAACGAGUGGCGGACGGGUGAGUAACACGUGGGUAACCUGCCCUUAAGUGGGGGAUAACAUUUGGAAACAGAUGCUAAUACCGCAUAAAUCCAAGAACCGCAUGGUUCUUGGCUGAAAGAUGGCGUAAGCUAUCGCUUUUGGAUGGACCCGCGGCGUAUUAGCUAGUUGGUGAGGUAACGGCUCACCAAGGCAAUGAUACGUAGCCGAACUGAGAGGUUGAUCGGCCACAUUGGGACUGAGACACGGCCCAAACUCCUACGGGAGGCAGCAGUAGGGAAUCUUCCACAAUGGACGCAAGUCUGAUGGAGCAACGCCGCGUGAGUGAAGAAGGCUUUCGGGUCGUAAAACUCUGUUGUUGGAGAAGAAUGGUCGGCAGAGUAACUGUUGUCGGCGUGACGGUAUCCAACCAGAAAGCCACGGCUAACUACGUGCCAGCAGCCGCGGUAAUACGUAGGUGGCAAGCGUUAUCCGGAUUUAUUGGGCGUAAAGCGAGCGCAGGCGGUUUUUUAAGUCUGAUGUGAAAGCCCUCGGCUUAACCGAGGAAGUGCAUCGGAAACUGGGAAACUUGAGUGCAGAAGAGGACAGUGGAACUCCAUGUGUAGCGGUGAAAUGCGUAGAUAUAUGGAAGAACACCAGUGGCGAAGGCGGCUGUCUGGUCUGUAACUGACGCUGAGGCUCGAAAGCAUGGGUAGCGAACAGGAUUAGAUACCCUGGUAGUCCAUGCCGUAAACGAUGAAUGCUAGGUGUUGGAGGGUUUCCGCCCUUCAGUGCCGCAGCUAACGCAUUAAGCAUUCCGCCUGGGGAGUACGACCGCAAGGUUGAAACUCAAAGGAAUUGACGGGGGCCCGCACAAGCGGUGGAGCAUGUGGUUUAAUUCGAAGCAACGCGAAGAACCUUACCAGGUCUUGACAUCUUUUGAUCACCUGAGAGAUCAGGUUUCCCCUUCGGGGGCAAAAUGACAGGUGGUGCAUGGUUGUCGUCAGCUCGUGUCGUGAGAUGUUGGGUUAAGUCCCGCAACGAGCGCAACCCUUAUGACUAGUUGCCAGCAUUUAGUUGGGCACUCUAGUAAGACUGCCGGUGACAAACCGGAGGAAGGUGGGGAUGACGUCAAAUCAUCAUGCCCCUUAUGACCUGGGCUACACACGUGCUACAAUGGAUGGUACAACGAGUUGCGAGACCGCGAGGUCAAGCUAAUCUCUUAAAGCCAUUCUCAGUUCGGACUGUAGGCUGCAACUCGCCUACACGAAGUCGGAAUCGCUAGUAAUCGCGGAUCAGCACGCCGCGGUGAAUACGUUCCCGGGCCUUGUACACACCGCCCGUCACACCAUGAGAGUUUGUAACACCCGAAG